rnacentral:rRNA from 1 species
AACGAACGCUGGCGGCAGGCUUAACACAUGCAAGUCGAACGCCCCGCAAGGGGAGUGGCAGACGGGUGAGUAACGCGUGGGAAUCUACCUGGUUCUACGGAACAACUGAGGGAAACUUCAGCUAAUACCGUAUACGCCCUAAGGGGGAAAGAUUUAUCGGAAUUAGAUGAGCCCGCGUUGGAUUAGCUAGUUGGUGGGGUAAUGGCCUACCAAGGCGACGAUCUAUAGCUGGUCUGAGAGGAUGAUCAGCCACACUGGGACUGAGACACGGCCCAGACUCCUACGGGAGGCAGCAGUGGGGAAUAUUGGACAAUGGGCGCAAGCCUGAUCCAGCCAUGCCGCAUGAGUGAUGAAGGCCUUAGGGUUGUAAAGCUCUUUCAGUGGGGACGAUAAUGACGGUACCCACAGAAGAAGCCCCGGCUAACUUCGUGCCAGCCGCCGCCGUAACAC